ACACCAGACUGACCGAGCGGUUAGUCACCACAGUACACCCGAGAGAGUAUACUAAAUAUUCCGAAACUAUUCUAUACAACUCGUUUUAUUCAGACUUAUUUGUGUAGUUUCCGAGACCAGCAUUACCACCAAAAAGAUUUGUUCAGUUUUCCACAGAUGUUUUUAUCAUUACAUUAAGUAUUUUAAGAGCUCCCUUUAAUAACAACACCUGAGCCUCACCUGAAGGAACAAUAACAACUCCACAGGUUUGGUGCAGACUGUGAGGGGUAGCCGUCCUACAAUAUGUGCUUACCAUGUUUUAUGUUAUAUUUAGUAUAAGUCAGAUUGUCAUAGCUUUGUAGAGCUGACUAGAGUGGUCUUUCCAUCAGCAAUUAUUCUUGUAAGGAUGGAGUCACAAAAAACUAAAAACCUGUACAAAUGCACGAAAUGUGGAGAUGAAUUCUAUAAAAUGGUGAAUCUUACUCGACACAUGUGGACACACCCAAAUGAUAGACCUUUUAAGUGUGAUCAUUGUGAAGAAUCAUUUGAGUGGAGAUCGCAUCUUUCUCAUCACAUGAAACUGCACAAAGAAUAUAAACCUCAUAAGUGUAAAGAGUGUGGCAAAGGAUUUACUUCUAGUUCACACAGGGUAACACACACAAGGAUACACACACAAGGGUCUGACGGACCUUUGACGUGUGAAGUGUGUGGGGUCAAGUUUAAUAUGAAAGUUUAUCUUGUGCUUCAUAUGAUGGAACAUUCUGAUAAGAAAUCUAAAAAGUGUCUUACAUGUGAAAAACCUUUUCUUUGUCCAGAAUGUGGAAGGAUGUUUCAUUAUAAGGCUGUGUUAAAGGAACACAUGAAAGUUUAUGGUGUUAAGAAGGCUUGUAGGUGUAGUCUUCCCUGCUACAAGUGUUUGGACGUGAAAACUAAAACUGGAAGUGACACCGAGUUGUGGGUGAUGGAUGGUAUCUCUCUUAAAGAAGAAAAUGAUAUAGAUAUUAAAGAAGAACUACUCUGAUAUUUUAAAACAACAAUACUGUAUAAGGUUAGUCUUUUAUUUUUAAGGCAAGUUUAUACUGUAGUUGGUAUUUCCUGUCGUGUAAUAGUUAUGAAUAAAUUAUCUUGAAGAUGA